CAGAUCAUCAUGCGGAAUCGCCUUCAUUAGGUCUAACGUCUGAAGUCCGGUUGUCUCUGCCAGAGUUUUUGGAACCAAUUCACUACCUUCAAUGAUCUUCCACAUAGGAAUGAUCCUCUUCCUCUUCCGUAAUUGGACCCCUUGUUCCACAGCUUUACCUUUAUCAUUCAACCAAAUGUUCAACUGAGAUAGCACAGCUGUAGGUUGAUCCAAAUCAAUGUCCCCGACAGUAAACUUAAC
rnacentral:lncRNA from 1 species